rnacentral:tRNA from 1 species
GGUGGGUUGGCUCAGUACUUAGAGCGUAGGUCUUGUAACCGAAAGGUAGCGGGAUCGAAUCCCGCUAGAGGCUG